rnacentral:rRNA from 1 species
AUGGAUCGGUUCCACGACGGCCAGCACGUGCGGCUGCGGAGCCGCGUGAUCGGCAAGUACCUCCACGCUGACGACGACGUCCAGGGCGUCUCCCUCCGCGCGCGCCGCGCCUCGAUGAACCAGGCGUGGACGGUGCACAUCUACAACGGCAACGGCGUGUACCUGCUCCUCUACAGCGCCACCUACGGCCGCUACCUCGCCACCACGGCCACGCGGGCGCCGCGCGGCCACCGCGGCUUCCGCGCCGGGCAGCGCGACUACGACCAGACGGAGGUGCAGGCCAUCAUGUGGCGGGCCGUCAGGUCAGGCUUCGGGGACGACGUCCUCCUCCGCGACGCCGGCGGCCGCUACCUCCGCGCCAACGGCAAGUACCGCCCCUGGAACACCGGCGUCACCGUCGUAGCCAGCGACAACGUCAGCGCCAUGAUGUACUGGACCGUCGAGCCCAUCCCCGCCAGAGACGGCACGCCUGGCCUUCCAGGCCCGAUUCAGAGCCCCCCUCCGACGAUUUUCUGGCGCGAGCCGGUGAUGUGGCGGCAGAUCCGGUACAUGGUGUCGGAGCCUGACGGCCCCGUCUACACCCAGUACUGCUGGUCCACGUUCCAGUUCAGGGGGAGGUCCGUGUUCCACCUGAGGAACGAGCUGGCCAGGCACACCCGCUUCGUCCUGGAAGGCCGUCGACCCUUCGACCUCGUAAUGUGCGUCCAAGCCGGCCGCCACGGGCGUCUGACCCCGCUCUUCGUCGACCUGCCCCGCGGCGACCUCUUACGGACCUUCUGGAUUGUCGUGUUCCUCUCCGGGACCCCAGUUUGCUGA